rnacentral:rRNA from 1 species
GUAGGUGGCAAGCGUUGUCCGGAAUUAUUGGGCGUAAAUCGCGCGCAGGCGGUUUUUAAGUCUGAUGUGAAAGCCCACGGGCUCAACCGUGGAGGGUCAUUGUAAACUGGAGAACCUGAGUACAGAAGAGGAAAGCGGAAUUCCACGUGUAGCGGUGAAAUGCGUAGAGAUGUGGAGGAACACCAGUGGCGAAGGCGGCUUUCUGGUCUGUAACUGACGCUGAGGCGCGAAAGCGUGGGGAGCAAACAGGAUUAGAUACCCUGGUAGUCCACGCCGUAAACGAUGAGUGCUAAGUGUUAGGGGGUUUCCGCCCCUUAGUGCUGCAGCUAACGCAUUAAGCACUCCGCCUGGGGAGUACGGCCGCAAAGGCUG